rnacentral:rRNA from 1 species
CUAUAAUGCAAGUCCGAGCGAACGGACGAGAAGCUUGCUUCUCUGAUGUUAGCGGCGGACGGGUGAGUAACACGUGGAUAACCUACCUAUAAGACUGGGAUAACUUCGGGAAACCGGAGCUAAUACCGGAUAAUAUUUUGAACCGCAUGGUUCAAAAGUGAAAGACGGUCUUGCUGUCACUUAUAGAUGGAUCCGCGCUGCAUUAGCUAGUUGGUAAGGUAACGGCUUACCAAGGCAACGAUGCAUAGCCGACACUGAGAGGGUGAUCGGUCAAACUGGAACUGANACACGGUCCAGACUCCUCACGGGANGCANCANUANGNAAUCUUCCCAGCGCAACUUUAAGUUUAGUUGCCAUCAUUAUAUUGGGCACUAUAGAUUGACUCCCGUUGACAAACCGGAGAAAAGGGGGGGAUGACGACAAAUCCUCCCCCCCCUUAUGAUUUGGGCUACACACGUCUACAAUGGACAAACAAAGGGCAGCGAACGCGGGAGGUCAAGCAAAUCCCANAAAGUUGUUCUCAGUUCGGAUUGUAGUCUGCAACUCGCCUACAUGAAGCUGGAAUCGCUUGUAAUCGUAGAUCAGCAUGCUACGGUGAAUACGUUCCCGGGUCUUGUACACACCGCCCGUCACACCACGAGAGUUUGUAACACCCGAAGCCGGUGGAGUACCUUUAGGAGCUAGCCGUCGAAGG